rnacentral:lncRNA from 1 species
GCCUCAGAACAAGGGUUCUGCCAAAGAUUUAGCUCAUAUUCUCAUAAACAAGAAAAGUGUGGACAUGCUCUCACAUCUCAUUCUACCCGCAUGAGAAAGAUUCACAUACAGGAGGCAUGAUCGAGGA